AGAUUAGUGGUGUAGGUGUUUGAAUAUUGGACUAUGACUCUGGAGACCAGGGUUCAAAUCCCAGCUCAGCCA